CUGGGCCGAUCCGAAGGCGGGUGGGCAGACGGCGAACACAAUGGCCCCUCGGAGAGAGGACGUGCGAGGCCCGUGCCUUCUCUGGGGCCCGGGGCGCGCGCGGGGCGUGGGGUCUCUGGGUAGGAAAGUUUCUCCCGAGGGCGAGAGUUAAAGCGCCUCCAGAACAAAGCGGCGGCGGCGGCGGCACAUGGGGCAGGCCGCGGGCCGGGAGGGGGCGCGCCCACGAGGUACCUGCGCGCCAGCGGGCGGCGUGGCGUGGGCGGGAGCCCGCGGUUCCCCAAACUUUGUACGCGCGAGGGUGGGCAGAGGGGCGCCGAGAUCGGCGCGGCCUGGGCGCCACCCCCACUCCGCGUGGGCUUUGUUAGCCCGCGUGGGCAGCCUCGGGGCGGGGCCCGCAACUUCCCCGCCGUGGCCCUCGGAGGAGGCCGCAGCCGGCCUCGGCUGCGGCGUGGAGCCGCCUGCGCCCGGCCGCUUGCUGGGAGUGUGGCGCGGGAGGGCCGGCCCGGCUCGGCGGGAGCGGCGUCCCCGCCGCCAUGUUCCUGCGGGGCGGGCUGCACGGGGGUGAGGGCGGGGGACAUGGCGGCGACUGCGCGCCGCCGCCGAUUGUUCCCGUCUUAGGCCUCGGGCCGCGUGCGACGGGCACCGCGGCCGCGGAGCCCCCGCCCCUCUGGGCCGGGCUCGGGGGGGCUGGGGGACACAAAGGAGGGGCGGCGCGCCCGCGUCCCCGCCGCACUCGGGCCUCGGCGCCGCCGGUCGCCGCGCGGCUGCCGCCGGGAAACGGGUUGGGGGGGGGUGCCGCGUCCGGCGGGGCCUGACUCUGACCCGCCGCCCCCUGGCGGCUACGCGGAGAAUAGCAGGGCCGCGCUCCCCCUUGUGAGACAUGUGCUGCCGGCCCGGGCUCCAUGAGCGUGGCGGGCACUUUGCAGUCUCGGGUGUUCUUGCCCGGUCUUCUGUUCCUAAACUGCAGCAAAGGGAGAAGAAACUGAAAAAGGCAGGCUCGUCGUUGCAAUAUCACCAAAAGAGAAAAUUAACGGCAUGCCAUCAGGACCACAGCAGUUGGAGAAACAACUCUUUAUCCCGGCUUGCAGCCACGAGGUCUUGAUUGGGGGAGGGGUGGUGAAGAAUAGUCUGGGCUGGUUUUUUUCUUUUCCUUUUACUGGAGCUGUACAGUGGAGUCGGUGAUUGCUGCUGAUCAUAAUCAAGUAUUUUAGGAGCUUAUUUAGCCAUGUAUCUGAUAGCUAAGGAUUUUUCAACUUUAUUCUCUUACGCAUUUUUCAACUAUACAUUAUUGGGCUUUUAAAUCCUGCUAGUAUUGCUCGACUCUUACUCUCACAAAUGGAUGGAAUUAAUUGCUGUUAGGAGGUUGGAAAAUAGCAAAUAUAGAUUUGGACGGUGGUAGUAAUUUUGAGCAAAUAAUGUUUUAUCUUUUUUUCCUUAUUUUCCCCUACUCCAGUCAUACACGUGGACCUAACUGCACCAGUAGCUUUUCUGAGGAUACUUGCUGAAAAGGAAGUUUUCUGGAAUGGUAUUUGCUAAGUGGAAGCCAGAAGAGGAGGAAAAUGUUUUGCCACGUGGGAUGUGAAGAUUUCCUCUAAAAGUGACAAACAUGGCUUUAAAACUAUGCUUAAAAAGUUCCGGCCGGAUGCAGUGGUUCACACCUAUAAUCCUAGCACUUGGGGAGGCUGAGGCAGAUGGAUUACCUGAGGUCAGGAGUUCGAGACCAACCUGGCCGACAUGGUGAAACGCCGUCUCUACUAAAAAUACAAAAAAUUAGCCAGGUGCAGUGGCGUGUGCCUGUAAUCCCAGCUACUCUGGAGGCUGAGGCAGGAGAAUCACCUGAACCUGGGAGAUGGAGGUUUCAGUGAGCUGAGAUCCUGCCACUGCAUUCCAGCCUGGGCGCAAGACCAAGACUUCAACGCGAAAAAAAAAAAGUUUCAAAAUACAGCAUGGUCUGGUAGUUCGCAAAAUGGUGUGCUGUGGUUAUAAGUGAGGAAAGUAUUUUGUUUUACAUUUGUCAGAAUAUAUCAUUUUAUUUUAAAGCUUUUGGUGAGAUAUACUAGCAGUUUUUUAAAAAAAUGGAACAGUGUGAUAGGAAGCCUGCUGGAUGAUUCCUUAAAUAUUCUAAAAUGUAAGUCAAAUAUGUUUUAAUAACAAAGACUUAAAUGGCUUUUCUCCCUAGAGACUGAAACUGUAGUUUCAUUGUGUUCAGAACUUAAUUGGGCUUGAACUGAGAUUUAAAUCUAAUAAACAAGUUAAUAAGUGUGUUCUGUUUUGUUGUGGGUUUGGUAGUGAUCUGUGGUUCUAUAGGGUUUAAUAGGAAUUGCUUUUGAUUUGUUUCUGGCUUUAGAAUGUGAGGCAAAUUUUACAUUCUUGGUUCUAUUAAGAUUUUCUUAGGCAUGCUAACAUGCCAACAAAAAGCCAUGUAAGUAUUGUAUAAAAAGAUUCACAUUGUUAAUUUAGCCAUUUUGAAAUUCAUAUGAGUGAACAAGUUGAUAAUGGCCUCAUCUCUGACCUGAGAAGAAACAGCUUUGACCUUUGUUCUUAAAAUGCUUUAACCUUGAAGUUGCUUGAGACUUAAGAGGUCAUGUUGCUUUAGGUUUAAUAAAUAGCCUUAACUAUUUGGAGGGGAAAAAAAUGGGUCAACAUUUUUUUUUUUUUUUUGGCGUUUGCAUGUACAACUUUCUAUUUUUAGCAUAUAUUUGGAAAGAAAGCACUUAACAUUUUAGGAAUUCUUUUUAAAGCUGCUUGCAAAGUAUUGGUGAUUUUACUGAAAACUUUUGAAAUCUUCAUUUUACAGGCAGACCUGUCUAACUACAAGCCAGACUUGGGUUUUCUCCUGUAGUUUGAAGACACACUGACUCCUGACAAAAUGCAACCUGCAGCUUCCUGGAGAACAACUCAGUGUCAUGUUAAAGUUUAUUAUGUAAUUAAUGAUACACUGUUUAAUUGACAGUUCUGCAUAGUUUGCCUAACUUUAGAGAAUUAAGAGCCUCUCAACUGAGCAGUAAAGGUAAGGAGAGCUCAAUCUACACAGAGCCAGUUUUUGGUGUUUGAUGGAAAUAAGAUCAUCAUGCCCACUUGAGACUUCAGAUAUUCUUUAGCUUAGUGGUUGUAUGAGUUACAUUCUUACUAAAGUCGAAAUUAAUGUAGUUUCUGCCUUCAUACAUUUCAUAUGUGGUAUUAGUUUUAAAGGGUCAUUAGGAAAAUGCACAUAUUCUGUGAAUUUUAAGACCCAUAGAAAAGUUGUUGAAGAAUGCUUAAUUUUCUUUAUCCAGUAAUGUAAACACAGAGACACAGCAUUGAGAUGUGCCUAGUUCUGUAUUUACAGUUUGGUCUGGCUGUUUGAGUUCUAGUGCCUUUUAUGUUAAUAAAUAAAAUACUGCAUUUUAAAGGUGUUAAGAAAAUGUCCAGAAUGAGCAUAUUGAAAUAAAAACUUCAAGGUUAUUAUUGCA